AGGGGGGACCCCCCUGGGGCCGCGGUGCCCGCGCGCGGCUCUCGCUCCUUGCCGGCCCGGUCCAGCAGGACAGGCCCAGGACAGACCCCGCUGCGCCUGUCUCCCGCCUGGACGGGAGGCCACCAGGGACCCUCGGUCCCGAGACACGCCCGCGGCAGACAUCCCAGAGACGCGUCACGCACCUGCACCUCCGAGACGCAACACGCUCCACAGAGGGGACAUGCCCCUCAGGGGUGACAUGGCUCACAGGUCGGCUACUGGUUUUUGAGAUGUUGCCGCGGCAGAGGCCUGGCCAGCCCCAUUCUGGUGCCCAGCCCCAAGGUGGCCACCACCCCCACCCCGGCCCCACUCAAGAGGAAUGGGGCCUGCUGGGUGCCCGCCCUGCCCUCCUGCCAGGAGAAGCUGCCGUUGUUUUGAGCCGGGCAGACAGAGGUAGAGACAAGAAUCAGUGAGAGGAAGAGUCAUUUAUGAUUUAUGAAUAACGAACUAAUUUAAUCCUGGG
rnacentral:lncRNA from 1 species